UACGUAGGGUGCAAGCGUUGUCCGGAAUUAUUGGGCGUAAAGAGCUCGUAGGCGGUUUGUUGCGUCGGCUGUGAAAUCCCGAGGCUCAACCUCGGGUCUGCAGUCGAUAUGAGCAAACUAGAGUGUUGCAGGGGAGACUGGAAUUCCUGGUGUAGCGGUGAAAUGCGCAGAUAUCAGGAGGAACACCGGUGGCGAAGGCGGGUCUCUGGGCAACAACUGACGCUGAGGAGCGAAAGCGUGGGGAGCGAACAGG
rnacentral:rRNA from 1 species